rnacentral:rRNA from 1 species
UGGGGAAUCUUGCGCAAUGGGCGAAAGCCUGACGCAGCAACGCCGCGUGAGCGAAGACGACCUUCGGGUUGUAAAGCUCUGUCAGGAGGGACGAAGCCACUCAGGUGAAUAGCCGAGAGGGUGACGGUACCUCCAGAGGAAGCCCCGGCUAACUACGUGCCAGCAGCCGCGGUAAUACGUAGGGGGCAAGCGUUGUCCGGAAUCAUUGGGCGUAAAGCGCGUGUAGGCGGCCAUCCAAGUCCGAUGUGAAAGCUCGGGGCUCAACCCCGAGUCGGCAGUGGAAACUGGAUGGCUGGAGUCCGGAAGAGGAGACUGGAAUUCCUGGUGUAGCGGUGAAAUGCGCAGAUAUCAGGAAGAACACCGGUGGCGAAGGCGGGUCUCUGGGACGGUACUGACGCUGAGACGCGAAAGCGUGGGGAGCAAACA